rnacentral:rRNA from 1 species
UACAUGGGGUGCAAGCGUUGUCCGGAAUUAUUGGGCGUAAAGAGCUCGUAGGCGGUUUGUCACGUCUGCUGUGAAAUCCCGAGGCUCAACCUCGGGCCUGCAGUGGGUACGGGCAGACUGGAGUGCGGUAGGGGAGAAUGGAAUUCCUGGUGUAGCGGUGGAAUGCGCAGAUAUCAGGAGGAACACCGGUGGCGAAGGCGGGUCUCUGGGCCGAUACUGACGCUGAGGAGCGAAAGCGUGGGGAGCGAACAGG